CAUAUAGAACCAGUUUCUUUAAGAGGCAGGCUUAGGCUAGAAUAGCAACUCCCUCUCCUUGGCAGCUAAAUGUGGUUUUCCUGGAAGUCAGUUCUUCCCUGCCGCCGCCGCCGCCGCCUCUUCCUCCCCCUCCUCCGCCUGCGGAUGCAGCUGCCGCGGAGCCUCCGGAGCGGACCAGGAGGCGGCGAGAGAGACCCGCCGGCGCUCAGCUCCGCCGGCGUUGCGCAGGGCGAGAGAGGCGGAGGACGACAUCCGAGCUUCCCAGCCUCCGCUGACUCCCCCGGUGAACGCUGCUGGGGAGGCUCCGGCCGCAACUGGAGGCGUUGGGAAGACUUCUCGGCUCGCCCACCGGGCGCAUCCAAAGGCGAGGCAGCGGGGCUCGCCGGAGAUGGUUGACACCGAAAACUGCUUGCUAUGAAAGACAAAGAAGACAGUGUCGUUUCACUCAUUUCCUGUUUGGUCCAUCACCAUGGGAACAGAAGGCUGGAUUGACUUCAAAGGCCCUUAGAUUCAUGAUGGCAAGUUUGAUGAGCUGCUGCUGGCCACACAGAACUUGGAAAGAUGCCAGUGCUGAGUGACGAGGAGGGCAAAAUAAGACAUAAGCCAGUGGCCUUAUCUUCUGCUUCUAUGUUUCCCGGAAGAAUAUGAAUUGUCUCAGCGCUCCUGUCUGGCUUUUAGUACGAUUAUUUUGACAUGUAUCCCCCUGCCCUCCAGGCUCAUUGGUCUCCCUUUCUCAUUGGUUUCAAUGCGUUUUGUAGCAUGCAUGAGUUGUUUGGUUUUAUAAGGCUUUGAUCUAGGGGAAUCUGGUUCCUCAGAUAGGGUGGGAGCAGGCAAUCCAGUUCAUCCACCAAGGAACUAUUCACGGUACUGAAUUUAUGGAGUUUAGCUUAGCUGUAAAGUCUGAAAAAACUGGAAUGGAUUCACUGUCUCUGCCAUCAGCCUCUUCUAUUGAAGCCAGUGGUUCCCAGCCUUGGGUCCCCCAGAUGUUCUUGGUCUAAAACUCCCAGAAGCCUUCACCACUAGCUGCGAGGAUUUCUGGAAGUUGUGGUCCAAGAACUACAAGGUGAAUCUAUGCCCUGCUUUAGCCUGAACACUGAAUGAGCUAUCCAAGGUCCUGAAACUCUACAAGGAAGGAGAGACAGAGUGCACCACAUUGGAUGGCUUUUGUAAAUGUCGGACUAAAACCUGAAUCGGAUUCGGUACCCCUUAAAUUAUGAGUCACCACUUUCUGCUGAAUCCAAGUAUGGAAGCUUUCCGGGCUGGCAUUUUCAGUUUCUCUUCAUUAUGUUGGUGAGAUAUUGUUCUCCAGAAACACCCAAGAGCACAAGGCUAAUUAAAGAGGCAGGACAGAGGUCCAUCUAGGUGGUCAAGUCUCUCUUUCUACGUAGAGGAACAA
rnacentral:lncRNA from 1 species